CCAACCAUUUGCCCGCAGUCUCCUUCGUCCUCCUCGGAGCACCUACGCCGCCGACGGGAGCGAUCUCCGCUCGGCUCCAGCGUCCCCCGUCCGCCUCUGUUUCUGGUCGCCCGCGGCCCCAUUAUUUCUCCCACUGGCACAUCAAAACCUUCUCCCCCACGACCUGCAACCUUCCCCAUGGCGGAGAGGAGCGCCAUGUUUCGUCCGCCAGCAUUGGCAACUCCUGCCCACGGAUGUACAGCAACUUCGUCCGCCAGCGCCGGGAAAUCCCGCCCACGGCUGGACAGCGAGGUGAGCAUAACAAUUUGACAGAUUAUUUUUGUACUGUAUCUCAAUUUGAACUCAUUUUAUUAGGAGAUCACUCUGUUUACAGAUCAGCGUAUUUGUACAGCACAGUUUACCAGUCUCCUCUCUUUUCGUGCUCUGUCGGCGGCAAAAUUUGUGAUCGUUGCAGGCCGUCAGCUGGACUCCUUAAACGUGGUCGAUCGAAAUCGGAGGCCCAUGUACUGAAUGCGACUAACGGCCCUCCUUCACGUUAGCAGAUCAGAGCAGAACAAACGCUUCUCCUUCCCGACGACUUAACUGUAUUUCCUGGCGACUUAAUGAUGGAUUCAUGGUGGUAAAUUGGUAAUUUCGACCCAUUCAUUAUCAUUCUUCAGCCCUCAUUAGUUUGCCGCUGCACUGGCUGGCUAGCUACGACCUGCAGCGAGAACAGCGGCCGGGCUGCCGAGAAGGCGACGGCAAUGUCUCAAACUCUAACGCUGUGGCAACAAGCCUAUCUUUCUUGAGGGGAAAUCACCAUCUUUCAGUUAAUCUCUCCGUUCCUUAUUUCCUUUCAAGUUUUUCUUCAUAUUUCCAUCACUUGUUGGGGCGACCUAUAAAGGUUGUAUGCUUUGUGCAACAUCUGCUAUUUGGCUUAGAUUCUUGGGUGAAUUUGAGUGAUGUGGUGUUCCCUCAUGUUCUCUCUCACCCCCAUGGCGCUACCGUUUCUGCUCAUCGCUGCUCCCACCCAAGAGUAUGGGCACAUGAUUUGGACAUUGCGGUUUGCAACCGUCUUGAUGUUACUCUGCCUCUCUAUGCCCUUGCAGAGGUUCAAACCCUAUCCUAUCACUCGAGCCCGCAACCGUUUCAACAACCCUGUUCUGGAGCUUCUUGUCAACGCCACUAGGAGGAGGAGGCCGUGGCGCGCUGCAGGGGCAGCGAGCUCAUAGCUGUCGAGGUCUCCAUCUAGAUCUACAUCGGUGGAGAAAGACCUAGAAGGCUCAAUUGCGUUUUCCUUUUCUUCUCAGGGUUCUUUUACAAGCCCUUUCUUGUUUUCUGGAAAAGAAUACCGCCAGCGUACCACAGGGCUGCUCCGGCGAUAUAUGAUGUUACCGCUAGGGUACCAGUUUGGUGCACCGGCGGUAAGCUAUUUACUUCCGCCUUGGCAGUAGUCUGUUAAAUUAUUGUUGUAUUGAAAACAGAUAAAAUUUGCAGUUCAAAUAUGGUAAUUCUGGUUGAAGAAACGGAGAUUUAUACAUAUUUUGUGUAGCAGUCGUCAUGUUAUUAGUUAACAUGUCAUAGUUCUGUUGUGACCCUGCCCCUUACUUAACUCAUGCCAACAUAACUUUCUGGUAAUGUAAAUAUGGUGUUUUCUAACUGUUUUGAAGAGCUUACCUCUGGCUGAAAGUUUGAAGAGCUAACCCAAACAUAAUGACUUUCAGUAAUACUGCAUUCAUGCUUGGAGAGUUCAAAAUGAAAUAGCCUACUGGGAUAUUAUCAUAUUAGAUAGUGUUAGUGCUAUCCAGAUCUCAGAUCUUCUAUAAUUGAUCAUGAUUCAACUAAUUAUCCUUUGUAGCAUGUAGGUUGUGGGGGUACAAAGUUUGCAGUGAGUUUCACAGUUCCAUGUGUAAUCAAAAAAUGAUAGUGUCAGAUGUCAGUACUGCAAAGAUUAAUGCCAGAGCAUCGACGUUGUUCUUGUUCUCCUGUCACGCAAAAGCCAGAGUAACAGAGAUGUCAGCUAGGGUUCAGAUCCUAACUGAUCAAGGCGAAAACAAAAGAGACUUCACCACCUAUCAAACAUUAUUAUUCAGGACUGGCGCUUCCAAUUUUUCCAAAGUUCGGGGUUUGAAUGUUCAGAGAAGUGGUUCAAACAAGUUUAGUUCAGUGUUCUUAAACUAUGCCAGUAGAAGUUAUUUUUUUUUUCCUUUAUGCCAAUCAGUUGCAUCUGGAGUCAAAGUAGUUAGUAUUUUAUUUCUGGUCAACGACCUUGAAUUGGAAUUUUUAUGUUUUGGGAAGUGUCUUGAAAUAGAACAAUCCAUUUGUUAAGAAAAUAUAUUGCUACUUUUUCCCAAACUCCAGUUGCAGAAUUAUAUACUAUACCCACCACAGGAUGUUGUUCAAGAAGUUAUUUUUUUAGUAACAUUGUAAAGCAUGCCAUCUGAGCAAAUCACUUAGAAAGUAUUGCGUUCUCCUCAGUCUUAAAAUUGUUCUCUGGAUGCAAGAAUUUCUACAUCACUAUCCUCUUGUUUAUGCCAAACAUUCAUUAUGUGGUCAAUUUGUUCGAUCGAGAUCUGAUGAGAUUCCGCAUAGCUAAAGCAAUAUCCGAACUAGCUACUUUGGAAGAUGGGGUUCAUACGAGAUUCUUAAUCAUUUUAGUUUGAAAUUUGACUUUAUUAUGUUGAAUAUCAAUUUAUUUAUUUACAUUGUAAAAAUACACGGGCGUGGCAACGCGCGCCAUCAUGAUCUAGUAGUUAGAGGAAACUCCACUAGGCUUUGAAUGCCAAUAUAUGCAAUGAAAGUCAAGAUCAUUCACACAUGCAUAUAUUAUGGGGGAGUUUGCUCUAUAUAUUCAACUUGUUUGUUACUUCAAUUCCUUAUAUAAACCUUCUCAAAGAGAUUGUCAUCAAUUACCAAAAUGGGGGAGAUUGAAAGUGUAUGGAGCCCCCAUGUGUGGUUUUGGUAAUUAAUGACAAUCCCUAUGGACUAAUGUUUGCAUUGAGUUAUAUUUGUAGGAGUUGUCCAUAGGCAAUUUUUGAACCAUAUGUUAGCUUCAAGGUUGCAAUAAGAAGAAUUUGAUGAAGGAUAUCAAGUGUCAAGUAUGUCUUGAAGAUGAAGUGAGCCAUCAAGUUACUUCAAGACAUCAACAUGUUUGUAUUAGGUUGCAAUAAGAAGAAAUUGAUGAAGGAUAUCAAGUGUCAAGUAUGUCUUGAAGAUGAAGAUGAAGUGAGCCCUCAAGUUACUUCAAGACAUCAACAUGAUGAAGAAUGAAGAAAUGAAGUGCAAAUUCAAGAUGAGCCAACUCGAAGAGAUCGUAAGCUUGAAGCUUGCCAUGGAGAAAUGAAGUGCUAGUUCAAGAUGAGCCAUCUUGAAGAGAUCCUUUGAUUGACUCUUGCCAUCCAUA